UAUACAGCACACCUGCUUCCUCUCUUCUUCCCUAUAGCCCUGAGCCAUACACCAGGUCUUCGCCUAGCCCUGUAACAGCUGAGAUAAAUUCUAGCAUGAUCCAUGAGCAGUGACACAGACAUCACAAGCUUGAAGCUGGAGGCCACCAUUCACAGGUGAUUCUGUGCUGGAAGCCCACUUACCUACAAUUCUUGUUGGAAGUGAAAAAGGAAAAUGCUCUGAAGGGUUGUGGGAAAGGAAGAUAAGUUAAUCAAAAGGAUUUGAGGAUAUCAUCAUUUCUCCUUGUUAACAUCCCUCAGGGGUGGGGAAACAGAAGAGUCAGCAAAGGAUGCUCUUUCAGGGCCCUACCCUACAAUCCCAGACAUUCAUAUCAUACCAAAGUGCACAGUGAUUAAAAUAGGUUUAUAAAAUGGAAAUUCUGGAAGUAACUGAAGUGAAACAAGAGUCAGCAAGAACCACUAAAGUAUUACUUGAACACUAUGGAAUGAAACAGUCCUUGGAAACCUGGCAUCACAAAAAUCUAUGAAUUUUCUCAUGUAGUAUUUAAUUUGAGAUUGGCAGUUUUUACUUUCCUGGAUACUCUCCAUUAAACAUGGCAGACUUCCUCUACAAAUAACAUUUCAAAUCUCACUGCCUCAUCCUUUGCUAAAUAAAAAAGCUGUAAAAUGACUAAUACAAAAGCAUAAAUGCAUCCUCACAAUUGCUCAGUAUGAAACUUUUACAAGGUAUGGUAUUAUGCAAGAAUGAAACACCCUUAAUUCCUGCUGGAGGAAGUGGGGAUACUAUGACAAAUUGCAGGCUCAGACCUUAACAAUUAGACUGUUCAUUUAGUUUAAAAAUGAAGAUCCACUCCUAAUUCACUGUUACCCAGCUCACUUCUCCAGGACUGACAGAGAGCUCUUUACCUCUAGCAGGAUUGCAAACAAACUUUCUUUGCAAGUUGGCAUCUGUUUGGAAUGGAUUCCCCAAGCCAAAUAUAAUACUGUGUCCCCCGUUAAACCACAAUAAACUAAUAUUCAAGUAAUUAUGAGCUUGACUUCAUCCCACCAAGAGUAGGGCAAUUCAGAGUUAAAACCGAUGCCAUGCUUAAUUUGCCAUUUACAGUAAGCAUUGAAGAAAUGAACACAUAGUGCUUGGUAGAAAAGAUCUUGCAAUGACAGAAGCACAAUGGAGUAAAUUAAAUAUGGAGAUGAAUGUAAUUAUGGUUCUAAAGUGUCUGCCAGGAGGGAUGCAAUGCAGCUGACUUCAUGUAAAAUAGUUAGCGGCGUUUGGUUUGAUUACAAAGUGCCUUGGGUCAUCUUACACCAUGGAGAUCCAAUUACAUGAUAGCAUUCCAUUAUGGAUUAUGAGGACGGUUUCCUCACUGAACCGCUACACUGUACGCUAGUUUCGUUGUGUACAGUGUGGUCUGUUUCCCUUGUGUACUGCACAUCCUAGAUUUGCUUGGGAACCUAGCUGCAGCCUUGUCAAGGCCUGGAUUUCAUUACAUUUUGUGCAGAAGCCCACUCUACAACCUUUAGCACAAUGAUAAUCAUGUUGCCCAUAGUCAGUCAUUUAGUAUUAGCAAGUAAUAUCCAAUAAGGCUGAAAAGAGAGAGUAUUGAAAACUGAAAACCUUCUCAGGCUUACUAACUGUGGGACAAAGAUACAGAGAUGUACUCUCCAACAGAGGGAAUUGUUCUGGAAAAAAAAAAUGACCCCAUUUUAUUCACAGGCUGACAUGAUAUGGACUGUCUGGAACUGAUGUAACAUUGAGCUUGGGUACACAAGUAUAGGAACAUGUGUGUCUUAUUUCUGGAGCAGACUAUGAAAUCUCAUUUGUUGACAACACAACAACUGCAACAUAAAAAAGGGGUUCUCUGGCAUCUUGCUAUCUGCUGCUGCAUAAAUGCAGACAGAUGGAAACAAGACAAACGUGAUUUCCAGACUCAUUUUGCAACAGCAGGUGCCUGCUUAUGGGUGAAUGGAACUGAAAUAAUGUCUCUGAUUACAAUUCAUUCACUCUACAUUUCCAUUCUAACUCUCCUGUGAAUACUUCUUCAAUAUAAAUGUGUGUACUCCAAUAUUGAUGUAGUAAGUAGUGGUAAUUUUUCAUCUCAAGUGAAUGAGUGCACUCAAUUCAAAAUCAGAGGUCCACAUGCCAUGCUUAGAGAUAUACAGCACUGCAAAUUCUAACUGAUAAAGAUGUUGUGUCCAUGAACUUCAUCUGACUACAGUAAUUAAACCCUGUAUAGAUGACUAUAAAAGGGUUGAAAUGCUAAAUUCUCAUAAAAAAUAUUUAUUUUCUUUUUUUUAAAAAAGGAAGAAAUUCUACUGUGUGUUUAGAAAUGGAAUGCAGAAGAUAAGGUAGGGAGAAUAAAGAUGUUUAAACUUUUAAAAAUGCCUAGGAUUAGAUUAAGAAAUUUGAUAUGUGUGUGUGGAUUACAAGGACAAGAUAAACCCAUCCAUUUCUGUCAGCUGAU